rnacentral:misc_RNA from 1 species
GAUGAAGAACGUAGCAAAAUGCGAUAAGUAAUGUGAAUUGCAGAAUUCAGUGAAUCAUCGAAUCUUUGGACGCACAUUGCGCCCGCUGGUAUUCCGGCGGGCAUGCCUGUUCGAGCGUCAUUUCAACCCUCAAGCCCCCGGGUUUGGUGUUGGGGAUCGGCUCUGCCCUUCUGGGCGGUGCCGCCCCCGAAAUACAUUGGCGGUCUCGCUGCAGCCUCCAUUGCGUAGUAGCUAACACCUCGCAACUGGAACGCGGCGCGGCCAUGCCGUAAAACCCCAACUUCUGAAUGUUGACCUCGGAUCAGGUAGGAAUACCCGCUGAACUUAAGCAUAUCAAUAAGCGGAGGA